UUCCGGUUGAUCCUGCCGGACCCCACUGCUAUCGGGAUAGGACUAAGACAUGCUAGUCGUGCGCUUCAGCCAAAACGAGGCGCGGCAUACAGCUCAGUAACACGUGGCUAAUCUGCCCUUAGGACGAGCACAACCCCGGGAAACUGGGGCUAAUUCUUGAUAGGUGAAGAACUCUGGAAUGAGUCUUCGCUUAAAAAGCUUCACGUUAUGCUCGUGAGGUCGCCUAAGGAUGAGGCCGCGACCGAUCAGGUUGUUGGUGAGGUAAUGGCUCACCAAGCCUUUUACCGGUGCGGGCCGUGAGAGCGGGAGCCCGGAGAUGGGCACUGAGACAAGGGCCCAGGCCCUACGGGGCGCAGCAGUCGCGAAAACUUUGCAAUACACGAAAGUGUGACAGGGCUAUCCCGAGUGCCUUCCGCUGAGGAAGGCUUUUACCUAGUAUAGUACGCUAGGGGAAUAAGGAGAGGGCAAGUCUGGUGUCAGCCGCCGCGGUAAUACCAGCUCUCCGAGUGGUGUGGAUGUUUAUUGGGCCUAAAGCAUCCGUAGCUGGCUAGGUCAGUCCUUUGUUAAAUCCACCGAAUUAAUCGUUGGAUUGCGGGGGAUACUGCUUGGCUAGGGGACGAGAGAGGCAGACGGUAUUUCCGGGGUAGGGGUGAAAUCCUAUAAUCCCGGGAAGACCACCAGUGGCGAAGGCUGUCUGCUAGAACGCGCCCGACGGUGAGGGAUGAAAGCUG
rnacentral:rRNA from 1 species